AUGGGAGACGAAUGUUCAAACCCACUUCUCCUCGCUAAGCCUGGAAGCUCGCCACAGUAGGAUCAUGGGACCCCGAGGGAAGAGGCUGAGAAUGAGUCCAGCACCCGCGUUCCUCGGGUUUUAAAAGCACAUCUGGGGCCAGAGACUGCAUAGCCAACUAAACGGAGUAAACGCGACAGGUGGAGGAGGCAGAGUUGUCAGGGGCCAAGCCGGGCGCGAUCUGCCCAGAGUCUUGGGGAUCGCGGACCUGGGACUGCAGAGAGGCGUUUUGAAGCUUGCUGCGCGCACCUGCCUCUAGGAGAUAUUCGGCUCCACCCGGGCGUCUCCUGAGGUCUCGCAGUCCACAGACCCCGGGAGGGCUGCCCGCCCUAGAACACGUCCUCUCUCGACCCCUCACUCUUUCAAAACUGGGGAAGAGGCUGAGGGGAUGAAAAAGAAGAAAGAGAGAGAGAAGGAAAGAGAGAAAGAAGGAAAGAAAUUAAGGGACAGCGACAGAAGCCCUGGCAGAGCCCAAGGAUCGGCGAUCUGGGCUCCUGGAGGUACCCUCUAGAUGGAGAAGGAUCAAGAGGCUCUGCGGGAAACGUGCGGGGCUGGGGGCGGGGGUGCCCGCCAAUGUCCGCAGAAGGCAAGGAGAACCAUUCGAGGAGGGGUGA